rnacentral:miRNA from 1 species
UCGAGGACUUUCCAUUGUUCAUC